AAGAAUCGAAAAUGCAAAAAUCAAGGCUUUUUCUCACCAUGUACUGCAAUAUACAAAUCGCGGCUGUAGAUUUAAGCUAGCAUUAUCCAUUACGGUAAACGUUCACAACAGAGACUUUACUCCGAUUGCCUGGCAAUGAAGGCACCAGGCACUGUGUUUUCAUUCAGAAGAAAGUUCAGCAGAUGUUUAGGUUGGCCAUACGGAUUUAGCACACUCCCCAACAACCUCAGUUUGAUACUGACAGUGCAUAAUGAACUUUUUAAUGCAUGAGAACGUUUGCUGAUAUGACCACACCUUUAGCAGAACUAUAAAGACGCAUAGCCGCCAAUCCAGUUUCACCAAAUGGAGUCUCAAGAGCUUGGAAGGUGCUAAGAGUGCAUCCGCCUCACAGGAGCCGUUUGGGCGGGGGCCUUCAGAGGGAAUCAAGUGUUCUCAAGCUUCGGUCCUUAUGGAAUUGGAAGCAAAUAAAUUUAGAGGCCCCUAUCAGGGACCAGGUGGUACAUAAGCAAGCAGAUACUGUCCAGCAGCAUCUUCACAGAGUCUUGGGGCCCAGGCCCGUGCGUCACUGCAGGUCACAGCCAGAAUUCAUGAAAGCAGACUUCCAGAGAGGAAGACGACGACAAAGAAGAUGGAGAAGAAGACGAUGACGACUAAUAGAUACAAUCUGACAAACUGCCUAGGAAACUAGACGAUUCUGUGCUUGGCCCAUAAUAAAAUGACAUAUAACAAAUAAAUUAAAAAAAGAAUAAAGAACAAAUUUCUUUUUUAUAAAUAUGUAUCAUACAAGACAUGCAAUAAAAAUGAGUUUAUUGAGUGAUCUUCUAC